AAUUCGACUUUGAAUUCCGUAUGUCAAUUGAUGAUUCUGUUGAAAGAUUUCGGUUUAGAGAAAAUGAAUUAAUGUUUAAACUAUUGUAAUUUACAGACAUUGACAAAUGACGAAAAAAAAUUUCGAGAGUAUUGUCAGAUGAUGGAACCUUUAGCAAAGAAAUUAGAUAUUUUAUAAAAUGACGGGAAUGUAUAUGGAAUAUUUGCUACCUGUCUUGAACAGUUUACAAGAAAAAUUAGAAAAUAUUUCAAGUAAAUUGUUGGAUUUCCUUUUAUUAGCCAUAAUCAUCUAGCAAAGUUUAAAUAAAAAGUGAUUCAUUAACCUGCUUAUAAUUUAAAGAUUUUGUACAACGCUUAAAAAAAAAAUUAAUAAUUGCAAGUUGCCUACAUUCUAAAUUUAACCUAAAUUGGCUAACUAGAGAAGAGAAAAAACUACCUAACUAUUUAGAAGAUUUAUUAGACUUUUAUUCAAGUGAAAAUUCCCCAAACUCAAAUAAAAAUAAUGCUUACAAUGACUUUUUUACUUUUCAUCGGCAAUCGACAUCAACUCUGGAGUCCGGAGAAGAAGAAGUGCAACGAUUUCUAAAGUCUAAACGACCUCAUAUUGAUACAUUUGAAUUUCCCCAUUUUGAAAAGGACAUUUAUUAAAUUUAAUAUGGCAUCAAGUAAUGCAGUGGUUGAAAGACCGUUUAAUAUCGGAAAUUCUGUACUUCCAGUAAACGAAAAUGAAUUAAAAUGGAUUGAAAUUUUCAGAAGUAUACAUUCA